UUGCACGUAGCACCCCGGGCUUCUCCGAAGGCAUCAAUUUGCAGAUAUGAAGAAGAAAGCCCCAAUGCUUGUGCUAAAUUUUCGCCGUCAAGUGUUGCAGUUUAGCCUCUUGUACCUAACUUUUUAUGGCUUUAUUUUGUGUCAAGUCGACGGCUAAAUCU
rfam:Daucus carota subsp. sativus cultivar DH1 chromosome 3, whole genome shotgun sequence.